CAAUCAGUCCCGGGGCCUCGCUCCCCUUUGCCAAGAGGUUCCGCCCUUCACCAAGGUAAGGGUGACCCCUGCCAGCUCUGGAGGGAAAGGAGCCUGGUUGAAAGAUGCCGCUUCCCUGCCAGAACUGGAAGGGGAGGGUCGUGUUCAUCAAGCCUUUCUCUCCUUUCCUUUCCCACAUUCCCAGAAAGGCUGCAGCCGGCUGGUGACUCAACUCAGGAAAAAUAACAAGAUAUAGGGAAGCUUUUGAGGGAGUCGAUCACCUGAUCUCUCCCUGGAAUCCAUAGGCUCCGAGAGGUCAAAAUUCCUGUUUUCUCCCGAGGCCGCCAAGUGCCUUCACAGAGGACAGAUCAUAUAUCCAAGGUGUGUGAGCCCUCCUUUCAAGACUCAUCCACCUGCGAAGGGGUUCUUGGCAGGGGCUCAACCUCCAGGAACUUGAAACCUUGACUUGUUCCCCAAAGCCCUAGAUCAUGGGGCCCAAACUGGUUGAUUUGGGGGGUCAGCCCAUGGAAUUUAUGACACACCUAUCUGUAUCAGACAGGGUGGCAUGCCUCCACUAUGCCCAGAUAAAUGGAACCAAAAGCCUUCCCACUUUUCCAGGAGCUGGCCCUCAGCUGACUCUUUUUGGAGGUGAUGGGAGGCAAAGAGGAUCUGGAGUCCUGGCUGGACCUGUGGGACUAAGCUAAGAGGGGACUGGACGCAGGAGGAAAUUCAACAUCCAGUGCAGGAGGGAGUUUUCCUUUCCUAUAGGACUUGAGGGACUUGUAAUGCCCUCAGAGAACACUCCAGCACCAGAAUUCUGCCCCCUGGGGACAGCAUGCAUUUUUUUUCUAUUGAAAUAAUUUUGGGGGUCGGCUCCAUGGCGGAAUGGUUAAGUUCGCACGCUCUGCUGCAGCGGCCCAGGGUUCGGAUCCUGGGCAUGGACAUGGCACUGCUUGUCAGGCCACGUUGAGGUGGUGUCCCACAUCCCACAACUAGAAGGACCUGCAACUAAGAUAUACAACUGUGUACGGGGUGGGGGUUGGGGAGAUAAAGCAGAAAAAAAAAAAAAAAAAGAUUGGCAGCAGUUGUUGGCUCAGGUGCCAAUCUUAAAAAGAAAAAAAGAAAACCAG
rnacentral:lncRNA from 1 species